rnacentral:rRNA from 2 species
UGCAAGUCGAGCGAACUGAUUAGAAGCUUGCUUCUAUGACGUUAGCGGCGGACGGGUGAGUAACACGUGGGCAACCUGCCUGUAAGACUGGGAUAACUUCGGGAAACCGAAGCUAAUACCGGAUAGGAUCUUCUCCUUCAUGGGAGAUGAUUGAAAGAUGGUUUCGGCUAUCACUUACAGAUGGGCCCGCGGUGCAUUAGCUAGUUGGUGAGGUAACGGCUCACCAAGGCAACGAUGCAUAGCCGACCUGAGAGGGUGAUCGGCCACACUGGGACUGAGACACGGCCCAGACUCCUACGGGAGGCAGCAGUAGGGAAUCUUCCGCAAUGGACGAAAGUCUGACGGAGCAACGCCGCGUGAGUGAUGAAGGCUUUCGGGUCGUAAAACUCUGUUGUUAGGGAAGAACAAGUACGAGAGUAACUGCUCGUACCUUGACGGUACCUAACCAGAAAGCCACGGCUAACUACGUGCCAGCAGCCGCGGUAAUACGUAGGUGGCAAGCGUUAUCCGGAAUUAUUGGGCGUAAAGCGCGCGCAGGCGGUUUCUUAAGUCUGAUGUGAAAGCCCACGGCUCAACCGUGGAGGGUCAUUGGAAACUGGGGAACUUGAGUGCAGAAGAGAAAAGCGGAAUUCCACGUGUAGCGGUGAAAUGCGUAGAGAUGUGGAGGAACACCAGUGGCGAAGGCGGCUUUUUGGUCUGUAACUGACGCUGAGGCGCGAAAGCGU